rnacentral:rRNA from 1 species
GACGAACGCUGGCGGCGUGCUUAACACAUGCAAGUCGAACGGGGUUUAGUAAACGGAAGCCUCGGUGGAAGAUUACUAAUGAGAGUGGCGAACGGGUGAGUAACGCGUGAGCAACCUGCCUAUGACAGUGGGAUAGCCUCGGGAAACCGGGAUUAAUACCGCAUAAAAUCGUAGAAACACAUGUUUCAACGGUCAAAGAUUUAUCGGUCAUAGAUGGGCUCGCGUCUGAUUAGCUAGUUGGUGAGAUAACAGCCCACCAAGGCGACGAUCAGUAGCCGGUCUGAGAGGAUGAACGGCCACAUUGGAACUGAGACACGGUCCAAACUCCUACGGGAGGCAGCAGUGGGGAAUAUUGCACAAUGGGGGAAACCCUGAUGCAGCGACGCCGCGUGAACGAAGAAGGUAUUCGUAUCGUAAAGUUCUGUCCUAUGGGAAGAUAAUGACAGUACCAUAGAAGAAAGCUCCGGCUAAAUACGUG